CACACACAUUUAUUUUUCUUCCCUCCGGCCGUCCCUCUCUCUCUCCCGUGUUUUUGAAUUCCGGCCACCCAUAGCCCUCACGCGCCAGCCACCAAGGAAGCCCGCCACCUCGCGAGCUUGGCCGCCAAGUUUCACGGCCAGCCGCCGCCGGACGCGCACCGAUCGGGCCGGAGAAGCCGCCGGCCGGCCAAGUUUCUCUCUCCUCUUUUCUUGUGUUUUCCGGCCAGCCCACUCCCAAUUGAGCCUCCUAUCCCCCUAUUUUGGGUCCUCUGAAUCCAAAAAUGGCCUCCAAUCCCAGAAAUUCGAAGCGGUUUGCGAGAUAUGGGGAAGUGAACACCGGCCGAAACUUUCCGACCAAAUUCCGGCCACCUCCGGCGGAAUUGGGGUCGAUGGAGACCGGAUUUGUGAUCCUCGUCCCACGAGCUUCGAUUCGGAGCACCGGUGAGUCGUAGAAUUGAUCCCGUGGUGGAUCUUGGAUUAAUUGCGUGUUCCAGGUGAGUGACCCACCUUUAAAAAUAUUUUUGGGGUAAUUAAUUGUAUUUAUGUGGUAUUAAUUUGAUAUCUGUAAUUUGUGCUCAUGUGGUGUAUUUUAAAUAUAAUCGGGAAAAAUAUUAUGUUAUAUAUAUAUUUACCCAUUGGUGUUAAAUGAAAUUUUGGGUCAUUAGAAAUUCCCGAUUAUUAUUUCAUUAUGAUUAAAUGGUAAUUAUUACACAUGAGCAAGUAUUUUCAAUAAUUAAUUGCGUUUGGAUUUUAUAUCAUUUUUGGGCAAUUAAUUAUAUUUAAUUGGUAUUUAAAUUGAUAUUUAAAUUAUGCUCAUGUGGUGUGAUUUAAUUAUGGUCUUAUUGUCGUUUAAUUUAUUAUGCCUGAGCAAAGUGAAUUUUGAUGGUAUUUGUACGUGGUUUUAAAUUUGAUUUUCCGGGCAUAAUUGGGCUAAAUAUUUUCCGAAAAUAUUUGGUUAUAUUUUAUAAAUUAUGCCCGCGGUAUUUUUAUGGUUGCAUCUCGUAUUUCGAGGAAAAUUGUGGUUUGUUGAUUAUCGCUGUUUCGUACCGGGUUGUUGAAUAAAAAUAUGUGGGAUGGUGUUUUGUGAAAAUUUGGUAUGCUUCCCACGGUGGUUUUUGGAAAAAUGGUACGGUUGGUUGUUUAUGUUUAUUUUUAGACGCACUCAUACAGUAUUGGUGUUCUGGUGUAUGGUGUAUGGACACGUGAUUUAGCACGCGGUUAUUAUAUGGUUUAGCGUGCGGUUAUUACUUCACCCGUGAGUUGCCAUUGGACCGUGGGCAGGCAAGGUUAUUGUUGUGCACAGCCGCCCCCCUCCUUGGCCGGGUGAUGGUUUUUAGCAGUCGGUACUGUCGGGACGCCGAAGUGACCACUGCAGGUUUCUCUCUUUAACCUCCCGCCAGUCGGUGCUCGGGACGCUGGGUAUCGGAGGGCAUCACCGGUAUAUGGUGUGGUGCGUCAAGUGUAAUUGUCGGUGUAAAUUGCAAUUAAAGUUUAAAACCCCAAAGGUGUUCAAAAAAUUAUUUAUUAUAAUUUAUUAUAGAAUAUUUAUAUUUGGGGUAUUUAUUUAUUUGUUUAAUUGUUGUUUAUUAAUUCGUUUGGUUCCUUGGUUUUUGGGAAGUACGUACAAGGGUUUUGUGAAAAUGUUUUAAAAGGGGAACAUUUCAAACAGAGUGAAUAGUGAGGAUUUUGAGAGAAAUUAUUACUUCAAAUAUUUAUUUAUUUAAUUGUUCGGUAUUGCUUAAUUAAACUCCUUAAUUGUUAUUAUUUUAUUAUUAUUAAAGGUGAGUGACCCACCUUUAAAAAUAUUUUUGGGGUAAUUAAUUGUAUUUAUGUGGUAUUAAUUUGAUAUCUGUAAUUUGUGCUCAUGUGGUGUAUUUUAAAUAUAAUCGGGAAAAAUAUUAUGUUAUAUAUAUAUUUACCCAUUGGUGUUAAAUGAAAUUUUGGGUCAUUAGAAAUUCCCGAUUAUUAUUUCAUUAUGAUUAAAUGGUAAUUAUUACACAUGAGCAAGUAUUUUCAAUAAUUAAUUGCGUUUGGAUUUUAUAUCAUUUUUGGGCAAUUAAUUAUAUUUAAUUGGUAUUUAAAUUGAUAUUUAAAUUAUGCUCAUGUGGUGUGAUUUAAUUAUGGUCUUAUUGUCGUUUAAUUUAUUAUGCCUGAGCAAAGUGAAUUUUGAUGGUAUUUGUACGUGGUUUUAAAUUUGAUUUUCCGGGCAUAAUUGGGCUAAAUAUUUUCCGAAAAUAUUUGGUUAUAUUUUAUAAAUUAUGCCCGCGGUAUUUUUAUGGUUGCAUCUCGUAUUUCGAGGAAAAUUGUGGUUUGUUGAUUAUCGCUGUUUCGUACCGGGUUGUUGAAUAAAAAUAUGUGGGAUGGUGUUUUGUGAAAAUUUGGUAUGCUUCCCACGGUGGUUUUUGGAAAAAUGGUACGGUUGGUUGUUUAUGUUUAUUUUUAGACGCACUCAUACAGUAUUGGUGUUCUGGUGUAUGGUGUAUGGACACGUGAUUUAGCACGCGGUUAUUAUAUGGUUUAGCGUGCGGUUAUUACUUCACCCGUGAGUUGCCAUUGGACCGUGGGCAGGCAAGGUUAUUGUUGUGCACAGCCGCCCCCCUCCUUGGCCGGGUGAUGGUUUUUAGCAGUCGGUACUGUCGGGACGCCGAAGUGACCACUGCAGGUUUCUCUCUUUAACCUCCCGCCAGUCGGUGCUCGGGACGCUGGGUAUCGGAGGGCAUCACCGGUAUAUGGUGUGGUGCGUCAAGUGUAAUUGUCGGUGUAAAUUGCAAUUAAAGUUUAAAACCCCAAAGGUGUUCAAAAAAUUAUUUAUUAUAAUUUAUUACAGAAUAUUUAUAUUUGGGGUAUUUAUUUAUUUGUUUAAUUGUUGUUUAUUAAUUCGUUUGGUUCCUUGGUUUUUGGGAAGUACGUACAAGGGUUUUGUGAAAAUGUUUUAAAAGGGGAACAUUUCAAACAGAGUGAAUAGUGAGGAUUUUGAGAGAAAUUAUUACUUCAAAUAUUUAUUUAUUUAAUUGUUCGGUAUUGCUUAAUUAAACUCCUUAAUUGUUAUUAUUUUAUUAUUAUUAAAGGUGUAUAGUAGUUAGGGUCACUCACUGAGAUGAUUAGCAUCUCACACUCUUAAAUUCCGUUCCCCUAGGUCCAGGUUGGAGACGUUGAUUGUCCGGGGCGAGCCCAACGUCUCAGUUCGUUGCCGAAGGUUCAAGCAGGUUUUCUUCCCUUUUUCCUCUCUAUCUUGUAUUGUUUCCGUAUCUGUCAUUUUAUAAAUUCCGCAUGUUUCUGUAUAAUGCUCUGUAUACUGUAUUGGACGUGUAGUUGUUUUUAUGCACUGGGUUGCUGCUGUUGUUUUCUUUUGAAGUGCUAAAAUUUGUGGAACAAUUUGUAGUUUGUGGGAGGAAUAAGGGGAUGUUUUUAAGAAGUGUGUUUUCAGUGCAGGUAAUUUGUGGUAAGUAAAUCCCUUAGGGGAGGCUCUGCCGGAUUUUCCGUUGGAGGGUUCGGUAGG